UUGUACUGAAAUAUUUUUUUAAGAGCGCGCCCGAUCUCGUCUGAUCUCGGAAGCUAAGCAGGGUCGGGCCUGGUUAGUACUUGGAUGGGAGACCGCCUGGGAAUACCAGGUGCUGUAAGCU
ensembl:rRNA 5S_rRNA 5S ribosomal RNA